CAACUUAUAUUUCUUGAGUGGUAUAUAGCAGGGCUGUGUUUCUACACCCUUGUCUAUAACAAGGACUCUUUUGACGCUUUGCUACUUUAAUAGGUAAAACAAGCUUCAUCUUUUUUUAUCUUAUGAAUACUCUCUAUAUUUCUUCUAAGGUGAGUGUCUGAUGCAUGUUCUUUCUCCAUUGUUCAAUAAGAGCAUUUGUCUUCUCUAUUAAUUUGUUGGAGCCUUUUAUGUAAGGGACUUCUGUGGUUUUUAAGUUGAUGCUACAUGACGUGUUAUGAACAUAGCCUUUUACUUUAAGGAGAUGUUGUCUUUACAAUUGAAGAUAAUUAAAUGGAAAAGUAUUUAGUUUUAAUGCAGCAUUAAUUAGACUCCUGGAAUUGAAAAAAUUCCCAGAAACUGUAAGGUAAGGGAGGACUUACUCCUGUUGGGGAACUUGUCCCUUUAGUUUCCAUCUCUUAAGUACUAGAAUUUGUGUUCUUUAAUUGGAACCAUUGCUUUGCUGUGGCCAUGGCAACACAUCUUAGCUGCCAUGAACAGCGCACACUUUGACAAAAUAUUUUUUUUAGAGAGUGGCUUUUAGAUGGAAUUCAUUUUCCAAUGUAUUCAUGGAGUCUAGAUGAAUUAAUGGAUGGUAGACCCAUACUUUUAUAAUAAUAGUAAUAAUAAUGAAAUGAAUAGUUACUAUCUAUUGAUCCCUUACUGUAUUCUAGCCACAAUGCUUUAUUUUAUAUUAUUUCAUCGGAUCUUUGUGAUAAUCUUAUGUCAUAGAUAUUGUUGUUAUCCUUACUUUAUACAUAAAGAAAUUAACACAGAAGAGUUAAGUGGCUUGCUCUGGCUUAUACAGAUGAUCCUGUGAUGGGUUCAGAAGAGAACACAAAACCCGAUUUGAGCCAGUGAGAGUCACUAUGAAGACUUUACUUUCUGAAGGAGAGAAACUCUCUAUCUCUAGGCAUGUGCAUAAUGCAUGCUAGGCUUACUGCUAUUGGAGCUGAGACAUUGCAGAUGGAAGCCCAUCAGAGCAUGGAACCAACACAGAGGGAAACACAGCUGAGCAAAGAGAGAGAAGUCCUGUCCUGGUGAUACUGGGAUGAGCCUUUCAUGAAGCGAUGCCUGACCAGCUCUUCCUCCAAUUCCUCAGUCGUUUGAGCCAAAAUACUUCCUUGUUGCUUAAACCACUAAGGGUUAGGUUUUCUGUCACUUACAACCCAGAGUUUCAAGAGAUAUAUACCAUGUCUUACCAACAUCAUACCUUAGUAUAAUGGUCUUUCUAUUGAUCUCUCUGCUGCAUGAGACCUUAAGGUCUGUGAGGACAGGCCUGG
rnacentral:lncRNA from 1 species